GACAGAGGGUGCAAACGUUGUUCGGAAUUACUGGGCAUAAAGCGCACGUAGGUGGUCCGCUAAGUCGCGUGUGAAAUCCCCCGGCUCAACCGGGGAAAUGCGCGUGAUACUGGCGGGCUUGAGAUCGGGAGGGGUGAAUGGAACUCCAGGUGGAGCGGUGAAAUGCGUAGAUAUCUGGAGGAACACCGGUGGCGAAAGCGGUUCACUGGGCCCGAACACUGAC
rnacentral:rRNA from 1 species